UACGUAGGAGGCAAGCGUUAUCCGGAAUGACUGGGCGUAAAGGGUGCGUAGGUGGUUUGAUAAGUUGGUAGCGUAAUUCCGAGGCUCAACCUCGGCGCUACUACCAAAACUGUCGGACUUGAGUGCAGGAGGGGCAAAUGGAAUUCCUAGUGUAGCGGUGGAAUGCGUAGAUAUUAGGAGGAACACCAGUGGCGAAGGCGGCUCUCUGGUCUGCAACUGACGCUGAGGCUCGAAAGCAUGGGUAGCGAACAGG
rnacentral:rRNA from 1 species